rnacentral:misc_RNA from 1 species
CAGAGUUGCAAAACUCCCAAACCAUUGUGAACGUUACCAAAACCGUUGCUUCGGCGGGCGGCCCGGGUCACUCCCGGCGCCCCCCGGCCCUCGCGGGCGCCCGCCGGAGGUAAACCAAACUACUGAAUUGUAUGGCCUCUCUGAGUCUUCUGUACUGAAUAAGUCA